AAGCAGAAAACAGGAGGAGUGCCACAGUGGUUAGAGCAGAUUCAUUGCAAAUCUAAUAUUUGUAAUUUUUAUGUAUUACUUGCUUGAUUUUUAGGGGAAUUUUUUGAGGGGAAGGGGGAACGUCAUUAAUCAGCCAUGGGGACAAAACACAAAGCAGCAAGAGCAAGAACCCAGACUCUCCUGGAAAUGGAAUGCUAACACCCAUCUUGUAUUUAAAAAAAGAUGCUGAGAUCCUCACACAAAGUUGUACUUCAGGUACAGUUAUACCUAUAUAAAUUUUAAAUAGUGCAAUUAAAAUAGAUUUAUCCAGGACAUGAGUUCAGGUUUCAAGUUUUCUUACCAGGUUCUGGUGAUUUCAUAAGAAU
rnacentral:lncRNA from 1 species